rfam:Monodelphis domestica cont3.003559, whole genome shotgun sequence.
UACCUCAACAUUGUACCCAGAGUCUGCCCUACAGUCGUUGCACCUGGAGCUGCAGGGAGAAAAAAAAUGUUUGAU